UACGUAGGUGGCAAGCGUUGUCCGGAAUUAUUGGGCGUAAAGCGCGCGCAGGCGGUCCUUUAAGUCUGAUGUGAAAGCCCACGGCUCAACCGUGGAGGGUCAUUGGAAACUGGGGGACUUGAGUGCAGAAGAGGAAAGUGGAAUUCCACGUGUAGCGGUGAAAUGCGUAGAGAUGUGGAGGAACACCAGUGGCGAAGGCGACUUUCUGGUCUGUAACUGACGCUGAGGCGCGAAAGCGUGGGGAGCGAACAGG
rnacentral:rRNA from 1 species